rnacentral:precursor_RNA from 1 species
GAGGACCGUAUUCAUGGAAGAGGAUUGAACAGAGAUGAAGUAGACAGUAUGUUGAAUAAAUCUGGAGUAAAGAACCCAGCAAUUGGUAAAGAUGAGAAUAUAUCGCCUCAAGUAAAAGGAGAUGAAGACAUGGGAGAUGAAAUUGACAGUAUGUUGGCUACAUCUGGAGGUCUUUUCUCCUGAGAACACGGGACUCCAGCAUCUUCGGAUUCUGCUCUUGGAGGUGUGAGUCCCUGCCUCUCUGCACAGGGGAACUUAUGUCUCUCCACAUGUCCGCAAAUGUCUACCCAAGAUUAUACAUCUUCCAAAGGCUUUCAAAUACUUCUUUACAUAAACAAGCUGCAUCAUUGGACUGAAAGUGAAUGGCCCAUGUGUUGCCACUGAUGUGAGCCAUUUGCCUGUUGUGCUUCA